rnacentral:rRNA from 1 species
GACGAACGCUGGCGGCGUGCUUAACACAUGCAAGUCGAACGAUGAAACCGGAGCUUGCUCCGGUGGAUUAGUGGCGAACGGGUGAGUAACACGUGAGUAACCUGCCCUUGACUCUGGGAUAACUGCGGGAAACUGUAGCUAAUACCGGAUACGACCCUCGGAGGCAUCUCCUGGGGGUGGAAAGAAUUUCGGUCAAGGAUGGACUCGCGGCCUAUCAGCUAGCUGGUGAGGUAACGGCUCACCAAGGCGACGACGGGUAGCCGGCCUGAGAGGGUGACCGGCCACAGUGGGACUGAGACACGGCCCAGACUCCUACGGGAGGCAGCAGUGGGGAAUAUUGCACAAUGGGCGCAAGCCUGAUGCAGCAACGCCGCGUGAGGGAUGACGGCCUUCGGGUUGUAAACCUCUUUUAGCAGGGUAGAAGCGAAAGUGACGGUACCUGCAGAAAAAGCACCGGCUAACUACGUGCCAGCCGCCGCCGUAA